rnacentral:rRNA from 1 species
CCCUUAGAUGUUCUGGGCCGCACGCGCGCUACACUGAUGCAUUCAACGAGCCUAUCCUUGACCGACAGGUCCGGGUAAUCUUUGAAUCUGCAUCGUGACGGGGAUAGAUUAUUGCAAUUAUUAAUCUUCAACGAGGAAUGCCUAGUAGGCGCAAGUCAUCAGCUUGCGUCGAAUACGUCCCUGCCCUUUGUACACACCGCCCGUCGCUCCUACCGAUUGAGUGGUCCGGUGAGGCUUUGGGAUCUAAGCGAAAAGAGCGUUUCGCUCCUUUUGCUGGGAGAACUCAGUCGAACCUUAUCAUUUAGAGGAAGGAGAAGUCGUAACA